rnacentral:rRNA from 1 species
UACGAAGGAUGCAAGCGUUAUCCGGAUUUAUUGGGUUUAAAGGGUGCGUAGGCGGACUUAUAAGUCAGUGGUGAAAUCUCGAUGCUUAACAUCGAACGUGCCAUUGAUACUGUAGGUCUUGAGUACAGAUGCCGUUGGCGGAAUGUGUCAUGUAGCGGUGAGAUGCAUAGAUAUGACACAGAACACCGAUUGCGAAGGCAGCUGACGAAACUGUAACUGACGCUGAGGCACGAAAGCGUGGGGAUCAAACAGG